rnacentral:rRNA from 1 species
GUACGGGAGGCAGCAGUGGGGAAUUUUGGACAAUGGGGGAAACCCUGAUCCAGCCAUUCCGCGUGUGCGAUGAAGGCCUUCGGGUUGUAAAGCACUUUUGGCAGGAAAGAAAUCGUGUGGGUUAAUACCCUGCGCGGAUGACGGUACCUGCAGAAUAAGCACCGGCUAACUACGUGCCAGCAGCCGCGGUAAUACGUAGGGUGCAAGCGUUAAUCGGAAUUACUGGGCGUAAAGCGUGCGCAGGCGGUUCGGAAAGAAGGAUGUGAAAUCCCAGGGCUUAACCUUGGAACUGCAUUCUUAACUACCGGGCUAGAGUGUGUCAGAGGGAGGUGGAAUUCCGCGUGUAGCAGUGAAAUGCGUAGAUAUGCGGAGGAACACCGAUGGCGAAGGCAGCCUCCUGGGACAACACUGACGCUUAUGCACGAAAGCGUGGGGAGCAAACAGGAUUAGAUACCCUGGUAGG